rnacentral:rRNA from 1 species
GUGGGGAAUAUUGGACAAUGGGGGGAACCCUGAUCCAGCCAUGCCGCGUGUGUGAAGAAGGCCUUUUGGUUGUAAAGCACUUUAAGCGAGGAGGAGGUUACCGAGAUUAAUACUCUUGGAUAGUGGACGUUACUCGCAGAAUAAGCACCGGCUAACUCUGUGCCAGCAGCCGCGGUAAUACAGAGGGUGCAAGCGUUAAUCGGAUUUACUGGGCGUAAAGCGCGCGUAGGUGGCCAAUUAAGUCAAAUGUGAAAUCCCCGAGCUUAACUUGGGAAUUGCAUUCGAUACUGGUUGGCUAGAGUAUGGGAGAGGAUGGUAGAAUUCCAGGUGUAGCGGUGAAAUGCGUAGAGAUCUGGAGGAAUACCGAUGGCGAAGGCAGCCAUCUGGCCUAAUACUUACACUGAGGUGCGAAAGCAUGGGGAGCAAACAGGAUUAGAAACCCUAGUAGUCC